rnacentral:rRNA from 1 species
UACGGGAGGCAGCAGUGGGGAAUAUUGCACAAUGGGCGAAAGCCUGAUGCAGCUAUGCCGCGUGUAUGAAGAAGGCCUUAGGGUUGUAAAGUACUUUCAUCGGGGAGGAAAAACAAAACUAAUAAUUUUAUUUCUUGACGUUACCCGAAAAAGAAGCACCGGCUAACUCCGUGCCAGCAGCCGCGGUAAUACGGAGGGUGCUAGCGUUAAUCAGAAUUACUGGGCGUAAAGAGCACGUAGGUGGUUUUUUUAAGUCAGAUGUGAAAUCCCCUGGGCUUAACCUAGGAACUGCAUUUUGAAACUGAAAUACUAGAGUAUCGUAGAGGGAGGUAGAAUUCUAGGUGUAGCGGUGAAAUGCGUAGAUAUCUGGAGGAAUACCUGUGGCGAAAGCGGCCUCCUAAACGAAUACUGACACUGAGGGUGCGAAAGCGUGGGGAGCAAACAGGGAUUAGAUACC